GGUUAAGCGACUAAGCGUACACGGUGGAUGCCCUGGCAGUCAGAGGCGAUGAAGGACGUGCUAAUCUGCGAUAAGCGUCGGUAAGGUGAUAUGAACCGUUAUAACCGGCGAUUUCCGAAUGGGGAAACCCAGUGUGAUUCGUCACACUAUCAUUAACUGAAUCCAUAGGUUAAUGAGGCGAACCGGGGGAACUGAAACAUCUAAGUACCCCGAGGAAAAGAAAUCAACCGAGAUUCCCCCAGUAGCGGCGAGCGAACGGGGAGGAGCCCAGAGCCUGAAUCAGUGUGUGUGUUAGUGGAAGCGUCUGGAAAGGCGCGCGAUACAGGGUGACAGCCCCGUACACAAAAAUGCACAUACUGUGAGCUCGAUGAGUAGGGCGGGACACGUGGUAUCCUGUCUGAAUAUGGGGGGACCAUCCUCCAAGGCUAAAUACUACUGACUGACCGAUAGUGAACCAGUACCGUGAGGGAAAGGCGAAAAGAACCCCGGCGAGGGGAGUGAAAAAGAACCUGAAA
rnacentral:rRNA from 1 species